rnacentral:tRNA from 1 species
GGGGUCGUGGCUCAGAGGUAGAGCGCUUGCCUGGCAAGUGCGAGGCACUGAGUUGGAUCCUCAGCACCACA